rnacentral:misc_RNA from 1 species
GAUGAAGAACGUAGCGAAAUGCGAUAAGUAAUGUGAAUUGCAGAAUUCAGUGAAUCAUCGAAUCUUUGAACGCACAUUGCGCCCGCCAGUAUUCUGGCGGGCAUGCCUGUUCGAGCGUCAUUUCAACCCUCAAGACCCCUUCGGGGGACUUGGUGUUGGGGACCGGCACAGGGGCCUGCCUGCUUGUCUUGCAGCGCCCUCGCCGCCCCCGAAAUGGAUUGGCGGCCUCGUCGCGGCCUCCCCUGCGUAGUAGCACAACCUCGCAACGGGAACGUGACGGCGGCCACUGCCGUAAAACAACCCCAAUUUUAUUAGAGUUGACCUCGAAUCAGGUAGGAAUACCCGCUGAACUUAAGCAUAUCAAUAAGCGGAGGA